AUUGAACGCUGGCGGCAGGCCUAACACAUGCACGUCGAACGAGUGGCGGACGGGUGAGUAAUGUCUGGGAAACUGCCCGAUGGAGGGGGAUAACUACUGGAAACGGUAGCUAAUACCGCAUACCAUCGGAUGUGCCCAGAUGGGAUGAGCUUGUAGGUGAGGUAACGGCUCACCUAGGCGACGAUCCCUAGCUGGUCUGAGAGGAUGACCAGCCACAUGUGAACGGAGACACGGUCCAGACGCCUAAGGGAGGCAGCAGUGGGGAAUAUUGCACAAGGGGCGCAGGCGUGAUGCGGCCAUGCGGAUUGUAUGAAGAAGGCCGUCGGGUUGUAAAGUACUUUCAGCGGGGAGGCGUUACCCGCAGAAGAAGCACCGGCUAACUCCGUGCCAGCAGCCGCGGUAAUUC
rnacentral:rRNA from 1 species